GCUCCUAUAGCUCAAUGGUAGAGCGUUCCAUCCUUCGUGGAAAGGCUGAGGGUUCAAUUCCUUCUGGGGGCU